rnacentral:rRNA from 1 species
GAUGAACGCUGGCGGCGUGCCUAAUACAUGCAAGUCGAACGAAACUUCUUUAUCACCGAGUGCUUGCACUCACCGAUAAAGAGUUGAGUGGCGAACGGGUGAGUAACACGUGGGCAACCUGCCCAAAAGAGGGGGAUAACACUUGGAAACAGGUGCUAAUACCGCAUAACCAUAGUUACCGCAUGGUAACUAUGUAAAAGGUGGCUAUACUACCGCUUUUGGAUGGGCCCGCGGCGCAUUAGCUAGUUGGUAGGGUAAAGGCUUACCAAGGCAAUGAUGCGUAGCCGAAUUGAGAGGUUGAUCGGCCACAUUGGAACUGAGACACGGCCCAAACUCCUACGGGAGGCAGCAGUAGGGAAUCUUCCACAAUGGGCGAAAGCCUGAUGGAGCAACGCCGCGUGGGUGAAGAAGGUCUUCGGAUCGUAAAACCCUGUUGUUAGAGAAGAAAGUGGGUGAGAGUAACUGUUCACGUUUCGACGGUAUCUAACCAGAAAGCCACGGCUAACUACGUG